rnacentral:rRNA from 1 species
UACGGGGGGGGCAAGCGUUGUUCGGAAUUACUGGGCGUAAAGGGCGCGUAGGCGGCCUGCUAAGUUGGAUGUGAAAACUCUGGGCUCAACCCAGAGCCUGCAUUCAAUACUGACGGGCUAGAGUACUGGAGGGGAAAGCGGAAUUCCUGGUGUAGCGGUGAAAUGCGUAGAUAUCAAGAGGAACACCAGUGGCGAAGGCGAGUCCCUGGACAACACCUGACACUGAGGCACGAAAGCUAGGGGAGCAAACAGG